UACAUUCAGAAGUACUGUGGGCCAGGUAU
rnacentral:piRNA from 1 species